GAUGGUGUGUUUUCCUUUGUACUACCGACGGAACCUAAUGUUUGAUAAUCUAAGUUUGAUAACAUUAUCUGAAGACACGGCGCCCCUUUACCAUGAUUUCUACUGCGCUGUACAAUGUCUGACAUGACAUCAUUCCUAACCACGCAAAAAAAUAGUUUCCUUUGCUGUAUCGCCUUCUCAUCGCAUUCGGUGCGUUCCUCUUGAUUGCGCUGAUCGCAGCAGCGAUUUACUUUUGUAUAAGGAAACGCAGAAGGAGGGGCGGAUAUCACUACCCAAGAGACAGAACAACGAAACACAGGUUGGAGUCGCCGGUGGGAUUGCCGCUGCCCAUCACGACGCUGUCACCCCCAGCCUACACUAGGACCAGGCCACCCUCUCUAUACCUGCCGCGUAGGGCACGGGGAGUUCAAGAGUCAUCAGUGUACAUAAAAUUCCAGAAAUGAGAUGGUGUCGGGAAAAGGAGCACUUUAAAAAAGGCCAAGUAAACAAGAGUUCGGAGACCUCAUAUCUACAUGAAAUAUUCUAAUUAUGCAAACAAAAUUUACAUCUGCAUAAUCCAUGCUUGGUAAUGUACACAGGUCACAGUGUUGACAAUCCAACCAUUUACUACAUGUACUUAGGAGAAUUAUGACACUUAAUUAUGCAAAUUAGGGACUUGUUUGCAUAAUUGAUAUAUGCUAAUGUUUCACUUACCACAAACUACAUAAUGUUACAUGUAUUUAAGCCUACAACAAUGUAUAAAUGGAUUUUCCUCAUUAGAAGUGCAAAUUAAUUCCUAAUUUGCGUCACUUGUACUUUAUUAUGUACAUCUCUGCCAUUUGAAGAUACUUACAUACUGAAUAUCGUAGACAUUCCUUGUUCCUAUGUUCCAUCAUGCCGACGAACAACACACCACACACAGACAAACAGACAAACACACAAACAUACCCCACACAAUGUCUCCAUUUUCAUUGAGAUAAAGAAAUAGUGCCAUCAGAUGAUGUCUACAUUUAUCAUGGCCGGAUGCUUGUCCGGACUAAGCUCACCCCAAGCCCCUUUGCCUUUGCCCUGCCAGUGUCAGGAUUCAUAUCAAGUAAGAAGCAACGAUUGCAGAGGCCCGUAUUGACAUGGCAACAACCAAAAGACAACUUUUAAGAAUACAACUUAAGCAAAGAUGCUUUAUAUUAUUUACCUAGCAGAACGGCACAGAAGAAAAGAAUCUUAGAUACAUAAAAAUAAUCGGUACUAACAUACUUUUGUGAUAUCUAACAUUGCUAGUGGUUGAUAACGUUACAGGAUUUGCAAUGAAUGUUUGCAUUUAUUUGCGUUUGUGUUGAAUUUUGUUUCACAAUUUUGUAUCUGAAUAUUAUUUUGAUUGUACAUUUGCUUUCGGGCGAGAAAAUGCUAAAAACUGCCUAUCAUACUCAACGAAAAAAAUUAAUGAAUAAACCAAUUGUUUAUACCAUAUCAUUGUCGUUGAUUUCAUCAAUGGUGAUCAAAAAUUGAGACCAACACAUAAAAGCCUAGCUGUAGUAAACGCCUCUGUGGUCUACGUGAAUGAUGACGUCACACAAGACACUGUCUUUUAUAAAUGAUGACGUAUGAUAGACAUUGCUCUAUGAUUGGUGCCUUACGUUGACGUCAUCUAUUGUGGGCUUGCUUGUUAUGACCUUGUCCGACUCGAGGCCGAUGCCCUCUCCCAUGACCUUUUAUCAUUUUGUACUAUUUUUCAAUGCUGUACUAUUGCCGCGAUGAUAUAAGUUGCAUAACUUGUAUUUUCUGAUUAUUUUGUUUGGUACAUUUUUAGUAAAUGCAAAAUAAGACGGAGAUGGGCACCGCCCUAUAGAUCAAGAGGUGUGAGAAGGAUUUGAACGUCUUAUUAUGUUGAUAUGAUUGUGAAAUCCUCAUUUACUGCUACCAUCCUGCCCAGUUAUUCCAUUCAAGCUCAACAUUCAUUCCAAUCUUUCUUCCAUAACGCAUGCGCAGACUCGGUGUGUGUGGCGUAACUGGUAGAGCGUUCGGCUCGGAAUCUAGAGGUUCUGAGUU